AUCAGGUGGGCACCUGCACUCACUUCUCUUAAUCCUCCUCCGCCACCAGCACGUACUAACGUACGUUUGGUGGCACCACAUCAAUUCAACAGCUGCCGAAGAAGAAGAACAAGCCGCGACCAAGAACUUUUAAACUCCAUUUCAUUCGGUAAAGCCUGUUUCUAGGAGGACGGAUUUGGUUUUUAAAACCACCGCGCUUGUCAUGGCGGGCGUGUGACGUCAGACGCGCAAAAAGUGACACACUAUUCAAACUGUGAUUUAGUGUGAAGCGGCGGGCUUGUAUUUAAAAUAUUAUGCCCUACAUGAAUGAAGAUCGGAGACGGCGGGUCGACCUGGUCCAGUUUGAGGAUUUGCCGAGAAAGACAUUUGUUUUUGCCCCGAGACCGGGUUGAGCUGUCUGUCUUCACACACGGCACGUGCUGUGGAUAGACGGUUCUUCAUGAAGUCUUCUCAAAGUAAGGGGCGUUGUUAUUAUGGGAUGCCGCUGUGCUCCCAUGCUGUGUUGCUCUUGGCCGCUGUGCCGGCAUGUAUGGCUGCCUUGCCAGUACAUGUAUGCUUUCUGGUCGCUGUACCACUUCUUCUUUUGACCAUACCAUUCAUUCAAACAGGUGGCCAUGUCUCUUCUCUCUAUUAAAUUAAUAGCUGUUAGGACUUAUCGACUCAACACUAGUCAAGACCUGACAAGGCUUGUGUGAGUGGUGAGAUGUGCGUUUUGUGCCCAAGGGGAGACAGUGGAGCAUAAGUUAGUCCUUUUGCUUGUUUGGCUGUGAAAGUCCCCCCUGGGUGUAUAAGUGUUAGACUGUCCUGGUCAGUUAGUUUUGUCUUGAACUGCUGAGCUAGUAAUGUAGAACUCUCUGUUUUGGGCCUUCUUAAGCAUCACUAAGUAACGUGGACAUCAUGUUUGUGUGUGGGCUGUGUGACAGACUGGGUGUUGUGUUUUGCAUUGAAUGAGUGAGUGGCGGCAAUCAAGCCUUGAACCUUUUAGCUCAGCAGUGAAGUAGAUGGUUAAAGUGUGUUUGUCAUAGUGUGGUGUUGCCUAGUCUGAAAAUGGUCACUGUACCAUGAAUCUAAAUAUGUGAAAUGGCUUGAUUAUGCACUAACACUUCAUUUGUAGGUGUGUCUACAGAAGGUAAGAAUGAUUUUCAUUCUUUUUGGAUGGCUGCCGUGUCGGCCUCCCUAUCCCGUCUCUCUCUCCUGGUUUUCAAAAAAAAUAUUAUUAUCAAUAAUGAUAAUAAUAAUCAGAGUAGGGGGAAAAAAAUAUUUCCGAGUUGUCCGGGUCUCUCAAACCAGUGUACAUACAGAAUAGAAAUUGAGGGGGUAAAAAUGACCCACAACUGGUUAAAGCUUCAAAGCACAAUAUUGUUAAACUGAUAAAAAUAAAAGCCCAACCAUAUGAAAUGGUUUUCCUCCCAAUUUAGUCUGUUAAUAUAAUCAGCUUAGUUCCAGCCAUUAAAAAUUUUAAAACGAAGCUUCGCAGAUGUCCGUCCCUCGCCUCGCUCACCUAUUUCUCCAACCAACAAGACUUCCACGCCAUGGGCCAGCACGAGUUCCUGGUGGAUCGCAGAAUGGUACAUCUUGGUUGUUGUGUGUGAGUAACUUUUUUUCUUUAUGGGUGGGGUUGUGCUUGUCCUGUGCCAUAACCACACUUUUAUUUCAGCUCAUCCAACGAGGAGGACCACCCAUUUCUUCAUCCAAUUUCAUUUCACAGCAUUUCAUUUGCAUUUCAUUUCAUUUCAUUUCCAUUUUCCCCGUUGGAUCUUCGAGGGAUGCGUUCCAUUUUCUGUCCGUCGGUGCAUUUAUUUAUCCAUUACCGUAUU